GAACGGUAGCACAGAGAGCUUGCUCUUGGGUGACGAGUGGCGGACGGGUGAGUAAUGUCUGGGAAACUGCCCGAUGGAGGGGGAUAACUACUGGAAACGGUAGCUAAUACCGCAUAACGUCUUCGGACCAAAGUGGGGGACCUUCGGGCCUCACACCAUCGGAUGUGCCCAGAUGGGAUUAGCUAGUAGGUGGGGUAAUGGCUCACCUAGGCGACGAUCCCUAGCUGGUCUGAGAGGAUGACCAGCCACACUGGAACUGAGACACGGUCCAGACUCCUACGGGAGGCAGCAGUGGGGAAUAUUGCACAAUGGGCGCAAGCCUGAUGCAGCCAUGCCGCGUGUAUGAAGAAGGCCUUCGGGUUGUAAAGUACUUUCAGCGGGGAGGAAGGCGAUGGAGUUAAUAGCUUCAUCGAUUGACGUUACCCGCAGAAGAAGCACCGGCUAACUCCGUG
rnacentral:rRNA from 1 species